UACAGGGGGUGCAAACGUUGCUCGGAAUCAUUGGGCGUAAAGCGCGCGUAGGCGGCCCGGUAAGUCCGUUGUGAAAGUCAAAGGCUCAACCUUUGAACGCCGAUGGAUACUGCCGGGCUAGAGUCCGGAAGAGGCGAGUGGAAUUCCUGGUGUAGCGGUGGAAUGCGCAGAUAUCAGGAGGAACACCAGCGGCGAAGGCGGCGCUCUGGGCCGGUACUGACGCUGAGGAGCGAAAGCGUGGGGAGCAAACAGG
rnacentral:rRNA from 1 species